CCUGUAAUUAGCGAUCGGGAAUUCACAAAAUCUCAAAGUCGUGCCAAAGAAAAGCUUCAAAUGUUGCUCCUAAAGAAGCUUUGGGGAUUUUCCUAGUAGGCAGAGGAGAUAGGAACUUAAAUGCACAAUCACCCCCGAAUUGUCUAUUUCCAUUUUUCCAAUUAAACCCCAACACCACUUCUAUUUUCUGAGUUUAGCUUAUAAUUUUUGUCAUGUCCUUGAGAGAGGAAGAGAAGACGAGAGAGAGAGAGAAUAUUGAUCCAUCUGUAUGUUUAGCUAUCUUUUGAUAUGAGAUGAUGUUCUCAAUUGGCUCUCAACUCUCCACCUCUAUCAGCUAUAUAGUUCAUUCACGUUCCAAUAUAAACAGGGUCAACCCUGUUCCCGGACCG